rnacentral:rRNA from 1 species
UGCGUAACACGUAUACAAUCUGCCUUUAACAGGGGGAUAGCCCGGAGAAAUCCGGAUUAAUACCCCAUAACAGUGGAGUUGGCAUCAACUUCACUUGAAAGCUCCGGCGGUUAGAGAUGAGUAUGCGUCUGAUUAGUUUGUUGGUGAGGUAACGGCUCACCAAGGCUACGAUCAGUAGGGGAUCUGAGAGGACUACCCCCCACACUGGUACUGAGACACGGACCAGACUCC